rnacentral:rRNA from 1 species
AACGAACGCUGGCGGCAUGCCUAACACAUGCAAGUCGAACGAGACCUUCGGGUCUAGUGGCGCACGGGUGCGUAACGCGUGGGAAUCUGCCCUUGGGUUCGGAAUAACAGCGAGAAAUUGCUGCUAAUACCGGAUGAUGACGUAAGUCCAAAGAUUUAUCGCCCAAGGAUGAGCCCGCGUAGGAUUAGCUAGUUGGUGAGGUAAAGGCUCACCAAGGCGACGAUCCUUAGCUGGUCUGAGAGGAUGAUCAGCCACACUGGGACUGAGACACGGCCCAGACUCCUACGGGAGGCAGCAGUGGGGAAGUAUUGGACAAUGGGCGGAAAGACCUGAUCCACGCAAUAGCCGCGUGAGUGAUGAAGG